AUGAUGUUGUUGAUGUAGAUGAAGAUGACCUUGAUGUAGAUGAAAACAGGGAAGGAGACCUGCUCAUUACUCUUUUGGCUGUUGGUGCUGAUUUGUGAGAUCAAGAGUUGUCUGUGGAGUCAAUUGGUAUCACGUGUCACGGAAAUUACAGUUGAUCUAUUUCAGGUUUACCAAAGACUAAAUCAAUUGGCAGUCUUAUUUCAGAACCAAACAUCAUUGUUGUAGUAGUGACACCAGUUGACUCGUGCACAGAUGAACGAUAACCCAUUAAGCAGAAAG